rnacentral:rRNA from 1 species
AUUGAACGCUGGCGGCAGGCCUAACACAUGCAAGUCGAGCGGAGCGGCGGACGGGUGAGUGAUGCCUAGGAAUCUGCCUGGUAGUGGGGGAUAACGUCCGGCAACGGGCGCUAAUAUCGCAUACUAUCAGAUGAGCCUAGGUCGGAUGAGCUAGUGGGUGGGGUAAGGGCCUAUCAAGGCGACGAUCCGUAACUGGUCUGAGAGGAUGAUCAGUCACACUGGAACUGAGAAACGGUCCAGACUCCUACGGGAGGCAGCAGUGGGGAAUAUGGGACAAUGGGCGAAAGCCUGAUCCAGCCAUGCCGCGUGUGUGAAGAAGGUUUUCGGAUUGUAAAGCACUUUAAGUUGGGAGGCGUUACCAACAGAAUAAGCACCGGCUAACUUCGUGCCAGCCGCCGCGGUAAUAC